CUACGGGGGGCUGCAGUGGGGAAUAUUGCACAAUGGACGAAAGUCUGAUGCAGCAACGCCGCGUGGAGGAUGACACAUUUCGGUGCGUAAACUCCUUUUAUAUAAGAAGAUAAUGACGGUAUUAUAUGAAUAAGCACCGGCUAACUCCGUGCCAGCAGCCGCGGUAAUGCGGGGGGUGCAAGCGUUACUCGGAAUCACUGGGCGUAAAGCGCAUGUAGGCGGACUUGUAAGUUGGAAGUGAAAUCCUAUGGCUCAACCAUAGAACUGCUUCCAAAACUGCUUGUCUAGAAUAUGGGAGAGGUAGAUGGAAUUUCUGGUGUAGGGGUAAAAUCCGUAGAGAUCAGAAGGAAUACCGAUUGCGAAGGCGAUCUACUGGAACAUUAUUGACGCUCAGAUGCGAAAGCGUGGGGAGCAAACAGGAUUAGAUACCCCAGUAGUC
rnacentral:rRNA from 1 species